AAAGAAUCCCUGAGCCCUAUUUCCUUAUUUCCCUUCUCUCCACAGCCCACUUUCCUUUCCCACCUUCUCCCAUUGCUGUCCUGACGUUCUCUUGCCUGUGAUAUUUAUAUAGUUCUUCGCUGGAAAUGGAUUUCUUCUGGAAUUUCUUCUGGGAAUUGUGUUACACUCCAAGCAGGACACAGUGAAGAACGUUUUAGUGGAGUUAUUGAAGGUGAUGGACCUGACUCAUAAGGACUGAAACUUGGAUUAAAAAAACCCCCACAAUUCCCCUGGUGCUGGGGUCGCUCUGCUCAAAGAGGAACAAUCAUGGAAUUUAUUUCUUGUAAAACUCACACUGAACAGCAUUUUUGGAUGUGUUGCAUGUGAAGCCAACCCUGUGCCAGGAGUGUGUGUUUUGAAUUAUCUGCUCUCCUUAUUUGAAGAGAUCUGUCCCUGUACUCUGAUUGCUCCUUGGCCGGUCUGCCAGCCCCGUCAGAAAUGAUCAAUCACCUCACCGGUGGUUUCCUUUAAUCGCCGGUAGAGCUGCUCCAGAGGAGGUGUCUCAUCCAGUGGAAAAGGCACCGUUCACUGCUUUGGGAAGCAGCUCCACGUUUUACUUCCCCACAAGCGGGAAGCAGCCGUAGGAAUUGCACUGCUCUGUCAGCUGGCUCAGUCCCUGGUGACAGUCUCUCCAGGGUGGCACUGCCCAGCCCUUGGCACACACCAACACACCAGG